rnacentral:lncRNA from 1 species
UCCACUGGUCUUCCUCCCAGCCAACACAUCCAUCAGUGUGGUCUUGCCAGCACCACUGACACCCAUAAGAGCAGUAAGUACUCCUGGCCUAAACGAACCACUUAUACCUUUCAGUAGUUCCAACCGGGUCUCUGUGACACCUUGUGCUCUGAUUGCCUACAUGUUUUAUUGGAUAUAAAUAAACUGUUAUAAAUGAUUGCUUUGCACUUAGAUGGUAUGAAAACAUACAAGAAUCUGCAAGAAUGUUUGUAUUAAUUUCCUUAAACCAGCCCUUUGGGCUGGUAUGAGUGCCUUUGACUCCAUUUUUUCUUAGUAUAAUGAUGUGCAGUUCUUACUCGUGUUCGGUACAAAAAUUAAAAAUUUCCUUAAAAAGUGAAUACCUCUGGCAUGUCCACACUGUAUCUUAUAUCUUCAAAAGUGAUGGAGAGAGGUACAAAAGGGAGGACCAUUCCUUUGUUGACUUGACUAGAAUUUACUGUCGCUUCAUCAUUGCUCUCAUCCAAAGUACCUGAUAGCAUAUCACAUAUGCAAGGUUGUCAGGCACAUCAAUAUAUUCUUAUGUAAUAUUAAUUAACGAAGAUAAAACAAUAAUUACUUCUAGCUGUUACUGUAGUGUUGGCAACCCGUCCUCUCGAUGAUGCUUCUAAAACUUCACCGGUUAGAUUUGCUUGUUUUAUCUUCAACGUCUCCUCAGAAAUUGUUGGUUGAUUAGUGUCAAAUGCUGCAGGGAGCAUAAUUUGUAAGGGUUGAAUUUGAUUGUUUGCAGUAUGCAUUUUUAAUGUCCAUGUAGAUGCAGAAUACCAUUUACUCACGCUUGAGGAAUGUGAGGCAGAUAGUGUAGAGUAUAUUGAAUAGCAGCACAUAUCCAAACAAGGCACCCACACCAAUCCAGUACCAUUUUGCCUCAGGAAAAAGUCCACGAGAUUCUAGAACUAGUUUUCCAAGUGGUUCUGCUGAACCGGGGUUUGCUUGCUGCAUAUAAGAGUAUCAAUAAGCUUUAGUCAUUAUUCGUUAACUAACUUGUGAAGGUUAUACCUUUCUUAAAAUAUAUUUUACCUUAUUCCAGCUGCUACCCAGGAAUUCAUUUACUGAUAUGGCAUUUUGUGCAUACAUCAGGGGUGAUAUCCAGUACCCCCAAAUCCACCAUUUCUUCACAUUCUCUGUUAAAUCAAAGGAAUAGUUUAAUUCAAGAAUUCUUGUAUAAGUACCGCUGCCAUAUCAGAUGAAUAAUAGCUGAAAUUAGAAAGUUCAAGCCAUGUUUACAUUUAAACACUAUAUUUUGAGUUAGCUGCUUUUGCAUAUACCUCUUGCCAGGAGGAAUCCACCCAAAAGCAUGCAUAUCAGAAUGCCGAAUGAACCAAGGGUGCUUGCAACAACCUGAUGCCUUGCAAGCCCGGCAAUGAAACGGAACAAUCCUGAUGAUGCCUCGUUCAUUAGUAAGAGGAGCAGGAACUGCCUAAAAAGUCUGCAGCAGGUUUAUCAAAUUUGAUCAGGUUCUGUAAUGCACUCAUAAACAUGCUGCUCUGGGAUAGAAAUUUUGGUUUCCAUACCUUUCUACGUUGGGAUCAAAUCCAAUAACAUAGUAUGUUAUGAAGACCCAAAUUGUUACAUUCAGCAAGGAGAGGGGAGUCUUAAUGAUCCAUGAUGGCAAGGAGUAUGUCCAUGCAGGGUAGAAGAGAAGAUCCCUUUGCUUGAAGAAAACUGGGAGCUUUGCAAUAGUUAGGCCAACUUCUGCCAGUCCAUUGAACAUGAUCAUCAGGAUCCCAAAGAACAGGGCACCCAUGUAUAUCCUUCCAUCUGUUACUGAGUCACGAUGCAUAUUGGUUCGGAGAAAGACGGUCAUCGUAAUGAGUGCCAUGAGUGUUAGCUGAACAAUAGGUAGUAAACAAAAAGGAGUUGUCAUUUAAGUUCUCAUGGUGUGGCCAACAUAAUUUGAAUCUGAAAAGCCCUGGUUCUCGAGAAUCACCUGAACUGCCUUGAAUAUGUAUACAAAGGAAUUUCUUUUCAUUAGCAAUAUCUCUCUGUCAAUAUUUGCUUUAAGUAGCUCUCUCACGCUGGCGCCAUAUUUUGAUGUUUUCAGAGCAGCAGGAUGACUCGUACUCUUGUCAAAUGGGACUGCCAACUCAUUUCGUAUAGCCUCACCAACAUGGAAAGAUUGAAAUGCUUCUGCAAACUCCUUCACGGGGACAUAUCGGUAGGUGUCAUCACCAUGUUUCCAGUAUUGUCUCUGAUCUUUCUUUGAUGUAACCUAUCACAUUUCAAUUAUUGCUCGUCAAACUUGUGCACUAAUAUACCCCAAAAAAAGAUCAGCACUACUGAAUAAUAUGAUCCUAGCAUUACAUAUUUCUGAAAUGUGUACUUCGUUAGGUAUUUCGAGAUCUUUUCUUUUUAAUUAAAUACCCUUCUAGAAAAAGCUUGAUGCAGAACUGUAAUGAAAGUACAGAACUCACUUCCUGCAGGAAGUCGGCUACACCUUUCCGCUGCGGGCAUUUGAAGCCAACUGACUCAAAGAACUCAAGAACAUAUUCACGAGGACCAUUGUAGACAACCUGACCAUCUGAGAGAAGAAUUAUAUCAUCAAACAAUUCAUAUGUCUCAGGUGCAGGUUGUA